rnacentral:rRNA from 1 species
AUACAGAGGGUGCGAGCGUUAAUCGGAUUUACUGGGCGUAAAGGGCACGUAGGCGGUUGUAUGAGUGUGAUGUGAAAGCCCCGGGCUCAACCUGGGAAGUGCAUCGCAAACGAUACGACUGGAGUAUAUGAGAGGGUGGCGGAAUUUCCGGUGUAGCGGUGAAAUGCGUAGAGAUCGGAAGGAACGUCGAUGGCGAAGGCAGCCACCUGGCAUAAUACUGACGCUGAGGUGCGAAAGCGUGGGGAGCGAACAGGAUUAGAAACCCUUGUAGUCC